UGGGGAAUAUUGGCCAAGGGGGWCAACCCUAAUCCAGCACUNCCGCGUGUGUGAAGAAGCCCUCCGGGUUGUAAAGCACUUUCAGUAGGGAAGAAAAACAUAGGGUUAAUACCCNUGAGUCUGACGUACCUCAGAAGAAGCCCGUAUCUCG
rnacentral:rRNA from 1 species